CCCUGGUGGCUCAGACAGUAAAGAGCCUGCCUUCAAUACAGGAGACCCAGGUUCCAUCCCUGGACCAGGAA
rfam:TPA: Bos taurus chromosome 7, whole genome shotgun sequence.